rnacentral:rRNA from 1 species
CCCUUAGAUGUUCUGGGCCGCACGCGUGCUACACUGAGUGGAUCAGCGGGUCAGGUUGCGCGAAAGCGUUUCCUAAUCUUUAAAUCCGCUCGUGAUGGGGAUUGACGGUUGCAAUUUUCUGUCAUGAACGAGGAAUACCUUGUAAGCGCGGGUCAUCAUCCCGCGCUGAAUACGUCCCUGCCCUUUGUACACACCGCCCGUCGCUCCUACCGAUUGAGUGGUCCGGUGAAUAAUUCGGACUGCAGCAAUGUUUGGAUCCCGAACGUUGCAGCGGAAAGUUUAGUGAACCUUAUCACUUAGAGGAAGGAGAAGUCGUAACA